UACGUAGGCAGCGAGCGUUGUUCGGAGUUACUGGGCGUAAAGGGUGUGUAGGCGGUUGCUUAAGUUUGGUGUGAAAUCUCCCGGCUCAACUGGGAGGGUGCGCCGAAUACUGAGUGACUCGAGUGCGGGAGAGGAGAGUGGAAUUCCUGGUGUAGCGGUGAAAUGCGUAGAUAUCAGGAGGAACACCGUGGUGUAGACGGCUCUCUGGACCGUAACUGACGCUGAGACACGAAAGCGUGGGUAGCAAACAGG
rnacentral:rRNA from 1 species